rnacentral:rRNA from 1 species
AGUGAACGCUGGCGGUAGGCCUAACACAUGCAAGUCGAACGGCAGCACAGUAAGAGUUUGCUCUUACGGGUGGCGAGUGGCGGACGGGUGAGGAAUACAUCGGAACCUACUUUUUCGUGGGGGAUAACGUAGGGAAACUUACGCUAAUACCGCAUACGACCUACGGGUGAAAGCAGUGGAUCUUCGGACCUUGCGCGAUUGAAUGAGCCGAUGUCGGAUUAGCUAGUGGGCGGGGUAAAGGCCCACCAAGGCGAGGAUCCGUAGCUGGUCUGAGAGGAGGAUCGGCGACACUGGAACUGAGACACGGUCCAGACUCCUACGGGAGGCAGCAGUGGGGAAUAGUGGGCAAUGGGCGCAAGCCUGAUCCAGCCAUACCGCGUGGGUGAAGAAGGCCUUCGGGUUGUAAAGCCCUUUUGUUGGGAAAGAAAAGCAGCAGGUUGAUACCCCGCUGUUCUGACGGUACCCAAAGAAUAAGCACCGGCUAACUUCGUG